CGGGGUUGUAAAGCUCUGUCUUUUGGGACGAUAAUGACGGUACCAAAGGAGGAAGCCACGGCUAACUACGUGCCAGCAGCCGCGGUAAUACGUAGGUGGCGAGCGUUGUCCGGAUUUACUGGGCGUAAAGGAUGCGUAGGCGGAUAUUUAAGUGAGAUGUGAAAAUACCCGGGCUUAACUUGGGUGCUGCAUUUACAAACUGGAUAUCUAGAGUGCGGGAGAGGAGAAUGGAAUUCCUAGUGUAGCGGUGAAAUGCGUAGAGAUUAGGAAGAACACCAGUGGCGAAGGCGAUUCUCUGGACCGUAACUGACGCUGAGGCAUGAAAGCGUGGGUAGCAAACAGGAUUAGAUACCCUGGUAGUCCACGCCGUAAACGAUGAGUACUAGGUGUAGGAGGGUCCAACCUUCUGUGCCGCAGUUAACACAAUAAGUACUCCGCCUGGGAAGUACGAUCGCAAGAAUUA
rnacentral:rRNA from 1 species